rnacentral:rRNA from 1 species
UACGUAGGGUGCAAGCGUUGUCCGGAAUUAUUGGGCGUAAAGAGCUCGUAGGCGGUUUGUCGCGUCUGCUGUGAAAAUCCAGGGCUUAACCCUGGACCUGCAGUGGGUACGGGCAGACUAGAGUGCGGUAGGGGAGAUCGGAAUUCCUGGUGUAGCGGUGAAAUGCGCAGAUAUCAGGAAGAACACCGGUGGCGAAGGCGGUCUCUG